GGCCUUUUGUCCACUGGGCUGUGGGGAAUCAUGUUCCUCUUCAGCCAGGGCUGGAGGCCGAGAUCAAUCUGUGAGGAGAAUCUUCGUCAGGACUGCCAUGAGCAGGCAGCCUUGUUUUCCGGCCUCAGACAUUG
ensembl:scaRNA small Cajal body-specific RNA 20